GUGGUUUAUCCGACCUCCCCUUCUCCCCCUGGAGAUAAUCAGACUCCAGACCCGUACGGACAAGAGGUGGGAGGAAGCAGAGAGGGAGAAGGACACCAAAGAGGGAGUAGACUGCAGCAGAGGCUAAAAUGUCCGCUUCCCCCGGCGCCCGUGCAGGGUUGGAGGGGGUAUGGGCUGCGGGCCGCUUUGGAGCGAAACAGGACCUGCGGGUCUACUGAGCAUGCCCGCUCCGCGGCCCAGAAAGGUCGCUCCGACUCCGCGCUCCGGGCUUUCCCGGCCGCCGGCGAGAAGGACCCGGGAAGCUUUUUGCACUACACCACCUCUGGCCGCUGGGAAGACGUCAUCGCUUCCGCCCCACUUCCUCCUCCUGUUGGCGGCGGUGAGAAUCCAAUAUGGAGUAAAACGGCGGAGGCGAGAGAUGGGGCUCGGACCCGGCGCCCUGCACCGCCUCUCAGGCGCACCACCCCCGGCCGCCGACUGCUCCCCGGAACCGUGAUUGGCCCGGCGCCACAGGGGCGACCCGGGACCAAGCCUCCACCGCGGCCCGCCCCUCUCCUCCUCCUCCCGGCAGUCCCCGCCGUUCUGAGGCGCGAUUGUUUUUCGCCUCCCCUCGUCCACUGCCGUCCCCGGUCCAAAUCGCUCUCCCUCCGCCCGCGCCGAGCCCCUCAAAGCACCCUCCCGCCUCGCCUCUCCGCGGCGCCCCUCCUAGCUGCGGCGCUCGCUCCUUUCUCAGUUUGCACCCGCAAACAUUGACCCCGCGCUCCGGUCACCCUUCUUCCCCUUCUGCCCGCGACGCCCCCUUCAUCUCCAGCCGCCCCCGCCCUCCAUCAGGCGAUCCCCGGAGAUGUGAGGAAGGGGGGUAGGCGGACAGGAAGAUGAAGGGAGCAAAGCUGCCCGCCGCGGGACAGGCGUCUAGGUGAACAAGAAAAUGACCGAAGAAACACACCCGGACGAGUAAGUUUGGCCGUGAAGUGGGACGGGGGUGCCCCGCGGGGGUAGCGUGGGGAGUCGGGGCCAAGGACGCGGGUGGGGACGCUUGUGGGGUGAACUUGGCGUUGCUUGCAGGGACUCGCUGGCCUGUCGGCCUUGGGGGGCGAGAUUUUCCCUCUUGUUGAAGUGGGGAGGGGACAAGAACCGCAGCGGGCCAUCGGGGGCGCGCCUAGGGUCGGCGGGCUGGGGGCGGCUACUAAGACCAAGGGCGCGUGGGUGACCUCAAGGCGGUCCCCUCUCUCUCUCCGGGGACUAAUGCCCCCCCCCCCCCCCCGUAUCCUCAGCGACUGGAGCGGAAGACCUGACACCCCCGCUCCGGCUUCCCAGGGUCGGCGGGAUUUUAUAGGGUGACUUUCUGACUCUUUCCCCGGCUGCUUGUCCUUGGUCCCUUCGCGAGCCCACUGGGACUCAGGCUCCGCCAUUUCGUUUUCUUGAAUCGCUCUCAUUUGCAUACCACAUUUUCAUUCAUAA
rnacentral:lncRNA from 1 species